rnacentral:rRNA from 1 species
UACGUAGGGGGCAAGCGUUGUCCGGAUUUAUUGGGCGUAAAGAGCGUGUAGGCGGCCUGGAAGGUCAGCUGUGAAAACUCGAGGCUCAACCUCGAGACGUCGGUUGAAACCACCAGGCUAGAGUCCGGAAGAGGAGUGUGGAAUUCCCGGUGUAGCGGUGAAAUGCGCAGAUAUCGGGAAGAACACCCGUGGCGAAGGCGGCACUCUGGGACGGUACUGACGCUGAGACGCGAAAGCGUGGGGAGCGAACAGG